UACGGGGGGUGCGAGCGUUGUCCGGAAUCACUGGGCGUAAAGGGCGCGUAGGUGGUUUGAUAAGGGUGUGGUGAAAGCCCGGGGCUCAACCCCGGGUCUGCCGUGCCGACUGUCAAACUCGAGGGCUGUAGAGGCAGACGGAAUUCCGGGUGUAGCGGUGGAAUGCGUAGAGAUCCGGAGGAAGACCGGUGGCGAAGGCGGCAUCCUGGACCGACACUGACGCUGAGGAGCGAAAGCCAGGGGAGCAAACGGG
rnacentral:rRNA from 1 species